rnacentral:siRNA from 1 species
AAGACACAACCGUUCAAAAGUGCA